rnacentral:rRNA from 1 species
UACAGAGGUUGCGAGCGUUGUUCGGAAUUAUUGGGCGGAAAGCGCGUGUAGGCGGGACGGCAUGUCGAAUGUGAAAGCCCUCGGCUCAACCGAGGAAGUGCGUUCGAAACUACCGUUCUUGAGUAUCGGAGAGGGUGGCGGAAUUCCCGGUGUAGAGGUGAAAUUCGUAGAUAUCGGGAGGAACACCAGUGGCGAAGGCGGCCACCUGGACGAAUACUGACGCUGAGACGCGAAAGCGUGGGGAUCAAACAGG